rnacentral:rRNA from 1 species
CAGCAGCCGCGGGAAUACGAAGGGUGCAAGCGUUACUCGGAAUUACUGGGCGUAAAGCGUGCGUAGGUGGUGGUUUAAGUCCGUUGUGUAAGCCCUGGGCUCAACCUGGGAAUUGCAGUGGAUACUGGGUCACCAGAGUGUGGUAGAGGAUAGUGGAAUUUCCGGUGUAGCAGUGAAAUGCGUAGAGAUCGGAAGGAACAUCUGUGGCGAAGGCGACUAUCUGGGCCAACACUGACACUGAGGCACGAAAGCGUGGGGAGCAAACAGGAUUAGAUACCCGAGUAGUCCCUGUCUCUUAUAC